rnacentral:rRNA from 1 species
AACGCUGGCGGCGUGCUUAACACAUGCAAGUCGAACGGAGUUAGAGAGCUUGCUCUUAAACUUAGUAGGCGGACGGGUGGAGUAACGCGUGGGUAACCUGCCUUUCACUGGGGGAUAACAGUUAGAAAUGACUGCUAAUACCGCAUAAGCGCACGGGAUCGCAUGAUCUAGUGUGAAAAAACUCCGGUGGUGAAAGAUGGACCUGCGUCUGAUUAGCUAGUUGGUGAGGUAACGGCCCACCAAGGCGACGAUCAGUAGCCGGCCUGAGAGGGUGAACGGCCACAUUGGGACUGAGACACGGCCCAAACUCCUACGGGAGGCAGCAGUGGGGAAUAUUGCACAAUGAGGGAAACCCUGAUGCAGCGACGCCGCGUGAGUGAAGAAGUAUUUCGGUAUGUAAAGCUCUAUCAGCAGGGAAGAAAAUGACGGUACCUGACUAAGAAGCCCCGGCUAACUACGUGCCAGCAGCGGC